rnacentral:ncRNA from 1 species
ACUCCUUUUCUUGUCAUCCCAGUGCUCCGACACUGGGAUCCAGUUAAAUUUACGAGUAUAAAAGUAAUCAACGUUUCUGAUGAUGGAAAAAUGGAUCCCAGUGUCGGAGCACUGGGAUGACACCUCUCUUAAAUU